rnacentral:rRNA from 1 species
CAAUAGCGUAUAUUAAAGUUGUUGCAGUUAAAAAGCUCGUAGUUGGACUUCUGCGGGUGGCGGCCGGUCGUGCUCGAAACGGGCGUGAACUUGGCGUGCUGCCCGCAUCUUUGGGGAGAUUGUGCGUGGCAUUAAGUUGUCGUGCAUGGGAUUCUCAUCAUUUGCUGUGAAAAAAUUAGAGUGUUUAAAGCAGGCCUUUGCCUUGAAUACAUUAGCAUGGAAUAAUAAGAUAGGACCGUUGUCUAUUUUGUUGGUUUACAGAUGUCGGUAAUGAUUAAUAGGGAUAGUUGGGGGUAUUCGUAUUCAGUUGUCAGAGGUGAAAUUCUUGGAUUUUCGGAAGACGCACGACUGCGAAAGCAUUUACCAAGGAUGUUUUCAUUAA